rnacentral:rRNA from 1 species
AGUGAACGCUGGCGGUAGGCCUAACACAUGCAAGUCGAACGGCAGCACAGUAAGAGCUUGCUCUUACGGGUGGCGAGUGGCGGACGGGUGAGGAAUACAUCGGAAUCUACUUUUUCGUGGGGGAUAACGUAGGGAAACUUAUGCUAAUACCGAAUACGACCUACGGGUGAAAGCAGGGGAUCUUCGGACCUUGCGCGAUUGAAUGAGCCGAUGUCGGAUUAGCUAGUUGGCGGGGUAAAGGCCCACCAAGGCGACGAUCCGUAGCUGGUCUGAGAGGAUGAUCAGCCACACUGGAACUGAGACACGGUCCAGACUCCUACGGGAGGCAGCAGUGGGGAAUAUUGGACAAUGGGCGCAAGCCUGAUCCAGCCAUACCGCGUGGGUGAAGAAGGCCUUCGGGUUGUAAAGCCCUUUUGUUGGGAAAGAAAAGCAGCAGGUUAAUACCCCGCUGUUCUGACGGUACCCAAAGAAUAAGCACCGGCUAACUUCGUG